AACGCACCUUGCACCCUUUGGUAUCCCCAAAGGGUAUGCUCGUUUGAGUGUCAUUGUAACCUCACACUUCUGGUCUUUGGAUUGGGAGCGGUGGACUUGGGUGUUGCUGCUUUACCGCGGCUCGCCUUAAAUGCAUUAGUGCAUCUCCGGAUUGGACAUAGUACAGCGUGAUAGAUAUCUUCGCUGGCACCUUACUUCAAGGGUGGCUGAUCCAGAGCUCUGUGCUUUCAAACCGUCUUCGGACAAUGACUGACAACUUGGCCUCAAAUCGAGUAGGACUACCCGCUGAACUUAA
rnacentral:misc_RNA from 1 species